rnacentral:rRNA from 1 species
ACUAUAUCUAGCCCAAACCCCACCCCAACAAAAUAACCAAAACGAACCAAAACAAAACAUUUACCCUAAUUAAAAGUAUAGGAGAUAGAAAUUUUAACAUGGCGCUAUAGAGAAAGUACCGUAAGGGAACGAUGAAAGAAAAAAAUCAAAGUACAAAAAAGCAAAGAUUAACCCUUGUACCUUUUGCAUAAUGAGUUAACGAGUACAAACUUAACAAAACGAAUUUCAGCUAAGUACCCCGAAACCAGACGAGCUACUCACGAACAGUUUAUUAGAACCAACUCAUCUAUGUGGCAAAAUAGUGAGACGAUUUUUGAGUAGAGGUGACACGCCUAACGAGCCUGGUGAUAGCUGGUUGUCCAAAAAAUGAAUAUUAGUUCAGCUUUAAAGAUACCAAAAAUAUAAACAAAUUNNNNNNNNNNNNNNNNNNNNNUCUAAAARGGUACAGCCUUUUAGAAACGGAUACAACCUUAACUAGAGAGUAAGAUUUAACAACACCAUAGUAGGCCUAAAAGCAGCCACCAAUUGAGAAAGCGUUAAAGCUCAACAAUAAAAACAACAUUAAUACCAAAAAUGAACAACUAACUCCUAGCCCUAAUAUUGGACUAUUCUAUUACCAAAUAGAAGUAAUAAUGUUAAUAUGAGUAACAAGAAAUAUUUUCUCCUCGCACAAGUUUAAGUCAGUAUCUGAUAAUAUCCUGACUGUUAACAGUAAAUAAAAAUAACCCAACAAUAAAUAAUUUAUUAAUUGUACUGUUAACCCAACACAGGAGUGCGCUCAGGAAAGAUUAAAAGAAGUAAAAGGAACUCGGCAAACACAAACUCCGCCUGUUUACCAAAAACAUCACCUCUAGCAUCCCCAGUAUUAGAGGCACUGCCUGCCCAGUGACUAGACGUUAAACGGCCGCGGUAUCCUGACCGUGCAAAGGUAGCAUAAUCAUUUGUUCUCUAAAUAAGGACUUGUAUGAAUGGCAACACGAGAGUUUUACUGUCUCUUACUUCCAAUCAGUGAAAUUGACCUCCCCGUGAAGAGGCGGGGAUAAACUAACAAGACGAGAAGACCCUAUGGAGCUUUAACUAACUAGCCCAAAGAAAAUAUACUCAACCGCCAAGGGAUAAUAAUACUCUUCAUGGGCUAGCAGCUUUGGUUGGGGUGACCUCGGAGAACAAAAAAUCCUCCGAACGAUUUUAAAGACUAGACCUACAAGUCAAACCAAAAUAUCGCUUAUUGAUCCAAAAAUUUGAUCAACGGAACAAGUUACCCUAGGGAUAACAGCGCAAUCCUAUUCAAGAGUCCAUAUCGACAAUAGGGUUUACGACCUCGAUGUUGGAUCAGGACACCCCGAUGGUGCAACCGCUAUCAAAGGUUCGUUUGUUCAACGAUUAAAGUCCUACGUGAUCUGAGUUCAGACCGGAGUAAUCCAGGUCGGUUUCUAUCUGUUAUGUAUUUCUCCCAGUACGAAAGGACAAGAGAAAUGAGGCCAACUUCAAUAAAGCGCCUUAAACCAAUUAAUGACCUUAUCUCAAUUAAUUCCACAAACAAGACCCGCCCUAGAAAAGGGCUCA